rnacentral:rRNA from 1 species
UGGGGAAUUUUGGACAAUGGGCGCACGCCUGAUCCAGCAAUGCCGCGUGCAGGAUGAUGGCCUUCGGGUUGUAAAGUUCUUUCACCUGUGACGAUGAUGACGGUAACAGGAGAAGAAGCCCCGGCUAACUCCGUGCCAGCAGCCGCGGUAAUACGAAGGGUGCAAGCGUUACUCGGAAUUACUGGUCGUAAAGCGUGCGCAGGCGGUCAUAUCAGACAGAUGUGAAAUCCCCGGGCUCAACCUGGGACCUGCAUUUGUGACUGUAUGGCUAGAGUACGGUAGAGGGGGAUGGAAUUCCGCGUGUAGCAGUGAAAUGCGGAGAUAUGCGGAGGAACACCGAUGGCGAAGGCAAUCCCCUGGGCCUGCACUGACGCUCAUGCACGAAAGCGUGGGGAGCAAACA